CGCAGUUGGAGAGGAAGGGGCGCGCUUGCUCUGUGGCUCGAGGGGGCGCCACGGGGUCGGGCCGGGGGGGGUGCGGCAAAAAUCGUGUUCUUGGUAGCAUGGUGCGGCCCGCGCUGACCUGGUGGGUGUGGUGUUGCCACCCUUUUGAAGGUCUUGUCCCUGCAGAGGGUGGUUGCUUCGAGGUGGGUUGUUUUUUUUAUGUUCUACGCUGAAGGGGGGGUGGCCGGGUGCCGGGGAUGGCGUCAGGUAUGAAUCGUGGCUGGCUUGACCCUCGGGGCCCCAUCUUGCUAAGUGGAGGGUGUAUGCAACCAGCGUCGCUGGAGGGUCAUGCCUGAGAGCUUUUCGAAGUCGCAACACGAAAGUGCUAGUUUGGCCCAAAGACAGGCUCAGCUAGGGUUGCUUCACAACAUGUAAUGGCAUUUGUAGGACAUUGCAGCAGCUGACAGGCUCGCACUCAGUCUUGCGUGGAAAACUGACCACCUGCGUUUGCAGCUCCGCUUGGCGAUCCUCAUGCUUUUCUCCUCCGUCUGUUCAAUCUUCUCUCUCUUUGCAG
rnacentral:misc_RNA from 1 species